rnacentral:tRNA from 1 species
GCCAAUGUCGCAUAACCCGGUAUUGCGCUGGUCUUGAAAACCAGUCCCUUCUGGGAUUCCCGGUUCAAAUGAUAUUGAGAGAGAUCUCAGGUCUGAUUGUCCGGGCAUUGGCG